rnacentral:rRNA from 1 species
ACCAGACUGUCUAGGGAUAGAUACUACGCAGGCACGAUAACGCAAAUGUCCAGCGAGCGAUUGGUCUGGCCAGUCAGCAGGGUAACGCUCGAGGAUAUGGCGUAGUAACCAUGACUGCCACUCGUCUAGUUUCAAUCCGUCAGGGUUAUCCAUGUCACGGUAUGCCAAAGCAACGACUUGGAGCAGACGGUCGGCAUCUGAUUCGAAGUCGUCACGAAGUGGCUUAGUCCACCGAGCAGGGAACAGCAUUAGCGAGUAAGUAACUUCUCAAGUUCGCUAGGUUCAGCAGGACGGUUAGCCAGCAAGUCUUUUAGAUCGUUUAUUGUGCGACGCAACUCGGCGGCAGUCGAUGUUUCACCCUUGUCGUCAUAACGCUCGGCAAGAGCCAACGCCAAAUUAGCGUAGACGGCCGUUUCAAUAUCAAGCUCAAGAGUGGCGACCCACUUCUGCACAGUUUCAAAUACCAUUCGGAUUCCUUUAGUUCGGCUCUAUGCCAGCCUACCCUCGAAUAAACGACUUCUUGCGUAAAAAUGCGAGUUGUGGUAUCUGGCAAGGUUAAGUCAAGUACGAAGCCGUAGCGAAAGCGAGUCUUAAUAGGGCGAUUUAGUCAGAUGCUGCAGACCCGAAACGAAGUGAUCUAUCCAUGAGCAGGUUGAAGCUGGUGUAAGAGCCAGUGGAGGACCGAACCCGCAGGCGUUGAAAAGUCUUGGGAUGACUUGUGGAUAGGGGUGAAAGGCCAAUCAAACUUCGUGAUAGCUGGUUCUCUCCGAAAUAUAUUUAGGUAUAGCCUUGUGUUGUAGCAUAUAGGGGUAGGGCACUGAAUGGGCUAGGGCUGCUUACCGCGGUACCAAACCCUAUCAAACUUUGAAUACUAUAUGUGGAAUCACAGGAGUCAGGCGGUGGGUGAUAAAAUCAAUCGUCGAGAGGGGAACAACCCAGACUAACAGCUAAGGUCCCUAAGUCACAUCUAAGUGGAAAACGAUGUGGAGUUACUGUGACAACCAGGAGGUUGGCUUAGAAGCAGCCAUCCUUUAAAGAAAGCGUAACAGCUCACUGGUCUAGUGAUUCUGCGCGGAAAAUAUAACGGGGCUAAGAUGUGCACCGAAGCUUUAGACUUGUUUUUAACAAGUGGUAGGAGAGCGUUCUAUUCAGCGUUGAAGGUAUACCGGUAAGGAGUGCUGGAGCGGAUAGAAGUGAGCAUGCAGGCAUGAGUAGCGAUAAUUGAGGUGAGAAUCCUCAACGCCGAAAACCCAAGGUUUCCUACGCGAUGCUCGUCAUCGUAGGGUUAGUCGGGUCCUAAGUCGAGUCCGAAAGGGGUAGACGAUGGCAAAUUGGUUAAUAUUCCAAUACCAACAUAUAAGCGCGAUGUGGGGACGCAUAGAGUUAAUCGAGGUCACGGAUGGAAGUGUGGCUCGAAGGACGUAGGUUGUUAAGUAGGCAAAUCCGCUUAACGUUAGACCGAGAUCUUACAGGCUCUUGACACUCUUCGGAGGAGAUGGAGAAUCGAUGAUACUGUCGUGCCAAGAAAAGCCACUAAGUUUAUUAUAUGUUGCCCGUACCGUAAACCGACACAGGUGGGUGGGAUGAGUAUUCUAAGGCGCGUGGAAGAACCCUGGUUAAGGAACUCUGCAAACUAGCACCGUAUCUUCGGUAUAAGGUGUGCCUACUUUUGUAUAUGGACUUGCUCCAAAAAGCGAAAGAGGUUGCAACAAAGAGUCCCUCCCGACUGUUUACCAAAAACACAGCACUUUGCUAACACGUAAGUGGAUGUAUAAGGUGUGACGCCUGCCCGGUGCUCGAAGGUUAAUUGAUGGUGUCAGCGCAAGCAAAGCACUUGAUCGAAGCCCGAGUAAACGGCGGCCGUAACUAUAACGGUCCUAAGGUAGCGAAAUUCCUUGUCGGUUAAAUACCGACCUGCAUGAAUGGCGUAACGAGAUGGGAGCUGUCUCAACCAGGGAUCCAGUGAAAUUGUAGUGGAGGUGAAAAUUCCUCCUACCCGCGGAAAGACGGAAAGACCCCGUGCACCUUUACUACAGCUUGACACUGUAGCUUGGAUAUUCAUGUGCAGGAUAGGUGGGAGGCUAUGAUGACUAGACGCCAGUAGAGUCGGAGCCAUCCUUGAGAUACCACCCUUGAAUAUUUGAGUUACUAACUGCGUACAAUUAUCUUGUAUCAGGACAAUGUCUGGUGGGUAGUUUGACUGGGGCGGUCGCCUCCUAAAAAGUAACGGAGGCUUACAAAGGUUAGUUCAAAGCGGAUGGAAAUCGCUUGUUGAGUAUAAUGGCAUAAACUAGCUUGACUGUGAGACAUACAAGUCGAACAGAGACGAAAGUCGGUCAUAGUGAUCCGGUGGUUCUGCGUGGAAGGGCCAUCGCUCAAAGGAUAAAAGGUACGCCGGGGAUAACAGGCUGAUCUCCCCCAAGAGCUCACAUCGACGGGGAGGUUUGGCACCUCGAUGUCGGCUCAUCGCAUCCUGGGGCUGGAGCAGGUCCCAAGGGUAUGGCUGUUCGCCAUUUAAAGCGGUACGCGAGCUGGGUUCAGAACGUCGUGAGACAGUUCGGUCCCUAUCUUCCGUGGGCGUAGGAGAGUUGAGGAGAGCUGACCCUAGUACGAGAGGACCGGGUUGGACGUGCCACUGGUGCACCAGUUGUUCUGCCAAGAGCAUCGCUGGGUAGCUACGCACGGAUGUGAUAACCGCUGAAAGCAUCUAAGCGGGAAGCCAACU